rnacentral:rRNA from 1 species
AUUGAACGCUGGCGGAAUGCCUUACACAUGCAAGUCGAACGGCAGCACGGGAGCAAUCCUGGUGGCGAGUGGCGAACGGGUGAGUAAUACAUCGGAACGUGCCCAAUCGUGGGGGAUAACGUAGCGAAAGCUACGCUAAUACCGCAUACGAUCUACGGAUGAAAGCAGGGGAUCGCAAGACCUUGCGCGAAUGGAGCGGCCGAUGGCAGAUUAGGUAGUUGGGGGGUAAAGGCUCACCAAGCCUUCGAUCUGUAGCUGGUCUGAGAGGACGACCAGCCACACUGGGACUGAGACACGGCCCAGACUCCUACGGGAGGCAGCAGUGGGGAAUUUUGGACAAUGGGCGCAAGCCUGAUCCAGCCAUUCCGCGUGCAGGAUGAAGGGCCUUCGGUUGGUUAAC